rnacentral:rRNA from 1 species
UACGUAGGGUGCAAGCGUUGCCCGGAUUUAUUGGGCGUAAAGGGCGCGUAGGCGGCUCUGCACGUUCGUUGUGAAAUCGCCCGGCUCAACUGGGCGGGGUCAGCGGAUACGGCAGAGCUUGAGCAAGCUAGGGGGCAAUGGAAUUCCCGGUGUAGUGGUGGAAUGCGUAGAUAUCGGGAGGAACACCAGUAGCGAAGGCGGCACUCUGGGCCGUGACUGACGCUGAGGAGCGAAAGCGUGGGUAGCAAACAGG